rnacentral:misc_RNA from 1 species
GAUGAAGAACGUAGCGAAAUGCGAUAAGUAAUGUGAAUUGCAGAAUUCAGUGAAUCAUCGAAUCUUUGAACGCACAUUGCGCCCCCUGGUACUCCGGGGGGCAUGCCUGUUCGAGCGUCAUUUCACCACUCAAGCCUCGCUUGGUAUUGGGCAACGCGGUCCGCCGCGUGCCUCAAAUCGACCGGCUGGGUCUUCUGUCCCCUAAGCGUUGUGGAAACUAUUCGCUAAAGGGUGUUCGGGAGGCUACGCCGUAAAACAACCCCAUUUCUAAGGUUGACCUCGGAUCAGGUAGGGAUACCCGCUGAACUUAAGCAUAUCAAUAAGCGGAGGA